AUAGAAAUAGAUUUAUUUUUACGUCGGUCCCGGGACAUGCAUGCACUAAUUUUUUUGUUUCUAUAUUUUAUACUAACUUAUUUUCAAGUGUUUUUAAUUUGUAGGUAAAGCUUAUGUGGAGACGAGGGAGUGGCCGGAUGAUCGGACGACCGUAGGGAGUAAUUCGUCCCUUUCCUUUUACAUUUAUGCAUUUAAUUUAAUUAGGCAUUUUGCAUAUAGAAAUAGAUUUAUUUUUACGUCCGUCCCGGGACAUGCAUGCAUUAAUUUUGUUUCUAUAUUUUAUACUAACUUAUUUUUAAGUGUUUUUAAUUUGUAGGUAAAGCUUAUGUGGAGACGAGGGAGUGGCCGGAUGAUCGGACGACCGUAGGGAGUAAUUCGUCCCUUUCCUUUUACAUUUAUGCAUUUAACUUAAUUUAGCAUUUUGCAUAUAGAAAUAAAUUUAUUUUUAUGUCCGUCCCGGGACAUGCAUGCAUUAAUUUUGUUUCUAUAUUUUAUACUAACUUAUUUUUAAGUGUUUUUAAUUUGUAGGUAAAGCUUAUGGGGAGACGAGGGAGUGGCCGGAUGAUCGGACGACCGUAGGGAGUAAUUCGUCCCUUUCC